rnacentral:lncRNA from 1 species
AACAUAAACCCGCCAAGAUGGCAGAAGCGAAGCAGAAGGCCCCUGCCGCGAGCUCACCUACAGCGCGACCUCCACAGGUUGCGGGGCCGCCCGAGAGCCCGCGGCGGCUGUACUGCCCCCAGGCGGUGGCGACCCAUCCACGCAGGCGGCGGCCGCGGCGGCCCCACCAGAGCGCCUGCGCAGAGCCCAGAAGGCAGUGCGAGGGGAGCGGCGCCGCGUGGCGAGGUGGCGGCGGCGAGGCGGCGGCUGAGGGACGCGGUCCUCCCGCCCCGGUCGGCGGAGAGCGCGGUGGGCCCCGCCGUGCCCGUCGGCCCCGUGGAAACCAAGCCUGACGUGAGCCGCCGCUACCUGGGUGAGGCCUCCGUCACCUCCAGAUUCCUGAAGCGAGGCGCGUCUGGCCACCCCUUCCCGCGUCAGCCCCCUCAAGUAGCUGAAAGCUGGAUAUUAGGAAUAACUCUGGACAUACCUGUUUCAAGUGAACAAAAGCAAACAAAUACAGAAGUCUGUAACCCAAUAUAUUCUCAAACAUCAUUUUUCAGCAUCAUCACAUUUAAAGAGUCAAUUUUCAGACAACCUGAUGGGAAAUCAUAUGAAGUUAUAAUGCAGUACAGACAGUUGCUAUUCUGUGGAUCAAAAGGAAAAUCAUGA